UACGUAGGGUGCGAGCGUUAAUCGGAAUACUGGGCGUAGAGAGCUCGUAGGCGGUGUGUCGCGUCGGCCGUGAAAACCUGCAGCUUAACUGUGGGCGUGCGGUCGAUACGGGGCAUCACUGGAGUUCGGCAGGGGAGACUGGAAUUCCUGGUGUAGCGGUGAAAUGCGCAGAUAUCAGGAGGAACACCGGUGGCGAAGGCGGGUCUCUGGGCCGAUACUGACGCUGAGGAGCGAAAGCGUGGGGGAGCGAACAGG
rnacentral:rRNA from 1 species